UCUGAGAAGAGCCUUUUAUAAUUCAGUUGAUAAGCUGUAUUGUUUAGCAUUUGCAGAUUUUCUGGAGUAUAGAAUUGCUGAAAAAGUUGAGAAGAAGCUACUGAAAUGUUCAGAAGAAAAUAAAGAUAACUUAUUUAAACUGGUUAUUUUCUGUACACAAGAAAAUGAACUUAAAAAACGAUUAGUUGGGGCUCUAGAGAAAUACAGACGACCACUGCCUGCUCUGUGUACUCCCACGUUAAUAGCAAAUUAUCUAACUGAACGACUGGUAUGUCAAGAUGAAACGUCAGCCUGUGCUGUAGACUUUUCAAGAUCAUCUGUGAGGGUCAUUCAAUCUCGAAGAAGUGGUGUUGGUAAAUCACUAUAUGUGAGGAGAUUAGUGGAGAAACUUAGAAAACGGCAUCCAACGAAAGAAGAUGUCAGUCUUACUAUACGCUUAUAUGAGAAAGACGUUGAUAUUUCACAUAUAGUAGACAUGCUGAUGACCCGUCAACAUUCACCAGGAAAAACAAAUCCUGUUAUAUUCCAUUUAGAUAUAUCAUCUGAGGUUUUAAAUGGUGUUGAUUUUCUACUGUAUAAUCUGUUAAUACUUGGUUGCAUCAAGGAUAAAGAUGGACAUGUGUGGACCAAAUCACCUUCCGAUUUAUAUGUAAUUGAAAAUAUACCUUCUAGAUACAAUCUAGCGGAUUCAAAGAUAAGGAAGUCAGUUCACCAGAUAUUUGGUAUAUUGCCUAAGGUUAACUGUUGGUCACCCCUCGAUACACUGGUC